GAAUUUUGGACAAUGGGGGCAACCCUGAUCCAGCCAUCCCGCGUGUGCGAUGAAGGCCUUCGGGUUGUAAAGCACUUUUGGCAGGGAAGAAAAGGCCCUGGCUAAUACCUGGAGCUGCUGACGGUACCUGCAGCAUAAGCACCGGCUACUUACGUGCCAGCAGCCGCGGGAAUACGUCGGGUGCACGCGUUAAUCGGCAUUACUGGGCGUAAAGCGUGCGCAGGCGGUUCGGCAAGAAGGAUGUGAAAUCCCAGGGCUUAACCUUGGAACUGCAUUCUUAACUGCCGGGCUAGAGUAUGUCAGAGGGGGGUAGAAUUCCGCGUGUAGCAGUGGAAUGCGUAGAGAUGCGGAGGAAUACCGAUGGCGAAGGCAGCCCCCUGGGAUAAUACUGACGCUCAUGCACGAAAGCGUGGGGAGCAAAC
rnacentral:rRNA from 1 species